rnacentral:rRNA from 1 species
UACGAAGGGGGGCUAGCGUUGCUCGGAAUCACUGGGUGUAAAGGGUGCGCAGGCGGGAGUGCAAGUCAGAGGUGAAAUCUCACGGCUCAACCGUGAAACUGCCUUUGAUACUGCAUUUCUUGAGUUAGGGAGAGGUUGAUGGAAUUCCAGGUGUAGCGGUGAAAUGCGUAGAUAUCGUAAGGAAGACCAGUGGCGAAGGCGGGUCUCUGGACAGUUCCUGACGCUGAGGCACGAAGGCCAGGGGAGCAAACGGG